GAUCAUGGCUCAGGAUGAACGCUAGCUACAGGCUUAACACAUGCAAGUCGAGGGGAAACGACAUCGAAAGCUUGCUUUUGAUGGGCGUCGACCGGCGCACGGGUGAGUAACGCGUAUCCAACCUGCCCACCACUUGGGGAUUUAACCUUGCGAAAGUAAGACUAAUACCCAAUGACAUCCCACGAAGACAUCUGAAUGGGAUUAAAGAUUUAUCGGUGAUGGAUGGGGAUGCGU
rnacentral:rRNA from 1 species